rnacentral:rRNA from 1 species
UACGGAGGGUGCAAGCGUCAUCCGGAUUUACUGGGUUUAAAGGGUGUGUAGGCGGGUCUAUAAGUCAGUGGUGAAAUCUCCGGGCUCAACCCGGAAACUGCCAUUGAUACUAUAGGUCUUGAAUAUUGUGGAGGUGGGCGGAAUGUGUCAUGUAGCGGUGAAAUGCUUAGAGAUGACACAGAACACCGAUUGCGAAGGCAGCCCACUACGCAACUAUUGACGCUGAGGCACGAAAGCGUGGGGAUCAAACAGG